rnacentral:rRNA from 1 species
CAAGCCCUGGAAACGGGGUCUAAUACCGGAUAUGACUGUCCAUCGCAUGGUGGAUGGUGUAAAGCUCCGGCGGUGCAGGAUGAGCCCGCGGCCUAUCAGCUUGUUGGUGAGGUAGUGGCUCACCAAGGCGACGACGGGUAGCCGGCCUGAGAGGGCGACCGGCCACACUGGGACUGAGACACGGCCCAGAUUCCUACGGGAGGCAGCAGUGGGGAAUAUUGCACAAUGGGCGAAAGCCUGAUGCAGCGACGCCGCGCGAGGGAUGACGGCCUUCGGGUUGUAAACCUCUUUCAGCAGGGAAGAAGCGAAAGUGACGGUACCUGCAGAAGAAGCGCCGGCUAACUACGUGCCAGCAGCCGCGGUAAUACGUAGGGCGCAAGCGUUGUCCGGAACUAUUGGGCGUAAAGAGCUCGUAGGCGGCUUGUCACGUCGGUUGUGAAAGCCCGGGGCUUAACCCCGGGUCUGCAGUCGAUACGGGCAGGCUAGAGUUCGGUAGGGGAGAUCGGAAUUCCUGGU